UACGUAGGUGGCAAGCGUUGUCCGGAUUUAUUGGGCGUAAAGCGAGCGCAGGCGGAAAGAUAAGCCUGAUGUGAAAGCCCCCGGCUUAACCGAGGAAUUGCAUCGGAAACUGUGUUUCUUGAGUGCAGAAGAGGAGAGUGGAACUCCAUGUGUAGCGGUGGAAUGCGUAGAUAUAUGGAAGAACACCAGUGGCGGAGGCGGCUUACUGGACGGUAACUGACGCUGAGGCUCGAAAGCGUGGGGAGCAAACAGG
rnacentral:rRNA from 1 species